GGGCUAGUGGCGGAAACGGCAUACGCGUGGGACUUAAAAUCCCAUGCCUGGUUCCAGGCUUGAGGGUUCGAUUCCCUCCUAGCCCA
rnacentral:tRNA from 3 species